GGCAUAUAUGUGAUGGCUUGCUUCAGACUUUUCAUAACCAUAGGUUCAGAGCAAAGACAAUCACAAGGUUCUCAGCAGGGAGAAGAGGACUUCUGAGGCAAUGGACUUUGGAAGAGCACAACCAUGUUACUGCUGCUCUGCUACCCCAAUGCAGCAGCAGAAGAGUGACUUCCCAAACUGUCAGAAGGAGAGCAUCCAAGUCAGGACUCCUUGGUAGCCUUGGCUUCAGCCUUCACUGUCACGCUAGAAUGCUAGAUACUGGUCUUUCCCUAUGGCUCACAGACUCUUCAGUCUUACAGGAGUUGUCCUUUGCCUUGGUCUGUCCAAUUCUUUCAACACUGUAAAAAUGUCUCCAAGAGCCCAGCCUCUGGCUGACCUAUUUCUUUACUUCAAGUACCCAUGGGGUGUUUUCUCCUAUAUCUGUUGGUCAUGAUAGCAAAAUCCAAUACAAGGCCACAGCAAGUAA